rnacentral:rRNA from 1 species
GAUGAACGCUAGCUACAGGCUUAACACAUGCAAGUCGAGGGGUAACAAGAGGAAAGCUUGCUUUCCUUGUUGACGACCGGCGCACGGGUGAGUAACGCGUAUCCAACCUGCCUAUAACUAGGGAAUAACCUUGCGAAAGUAAGACUAAUACCCUAUGAUUUCCUUUGAUGACAUCAGAUUAGGAAUAAAGAUUUAUCGGUUAUAGAUGGGGAUGCGUCUGAUUAGCUUGUUGGCGGAGUAACGGCCCACCAAGGCAACGAUCAGUAGGGGUUCUGAGAGGAAGGUCCCCCACAUUGGAACUGUGACACGGUCCAAACUCCUACGGGAGGCAGCAGUGAGGAAUAUUGGUCAAUGGGCGGAAGCCUGAACCGGCCAAGUAGCGUGCAGGAUGACGGCCCUAUGGGUUGUAAACUGCUUUUAUACAGGAAUAAAGUUAGCCACGUGUGGUUAUUUGUAGGUACUGUAUGAAUAAGGACCGGCUAAUUCCGUGCCAGCCGCCGCGGUAA